AAGUCGAACGGAGCUUAGAGAGCUUGCUUUUUAAGCUUAGUGGCGAACGGGUGAGUAACGCGUGAGUAACCUGCCCUAGAGUGGGGGACAACAGUUGGAAACGACUGCUAAUACCGCAUAAGCCCACGGUACCGCAUGGUACUGAGGGAAAAGGAUUUAUUCGCUUUAGGAUGGACUCGCGUCCAAUUAGCUAGUUGGUGAGGUAACGGCCCACCAAGGCGACGAUUGGUAGCCGGACUGAGAGGUUGAACGGCCACAUUGGGACUGAGACACGGCCCAGACUCCUACGGGAGGCAGCAGUGGGGGAUAUUGCACAAUGGGGGAAACCCUGAUGCAGCGACGCCGCGUGGAGGAAGAAGGUUUUCGGAUUGUAAACUCCUGUCGUUAGGGACGAUAAUGACGGUACCUAACAAGAAAGCACCGGCUAACUACGUGCCAGCAGCCGCGGUAAAACGUAGGGUGCAAGCGUUGUCCGGAAUUACUGGGUGUAAAGGGAGCGCAGGCGGGAAGACAAGUUGGAAGUGAAAACCAUGGGCUCAACCCAUGAAUUGCUUUCAAAACUGUUUUUCUUGAGUAGUGCAGAGGUAGAUGGAAUUCCCGGUGUAGCGGUGGAAUGCGUAGAUAUCGGGAGGAACACCAGUGGC
rnacentral:rRNA from 1 species